AGGCGGGGGCGGGUGGUGGCCCGGCCCCCGCCGAGGGCCUGACCCGGGACCGCGCCGCGGGGGCAGCUGUGAAACGAUCCAGUGAGUCGCCUCGAUCUGCUCGUGGGGAGCCUGGAGCCGCCACAGCAGGGCCCUGCAGUCCUGGCCCCGGCUGUCCUCGGGCUGCUCGGGGUGUGCAUGGCGGUGCCGGGUUCCUUCAGGCGGGUGAUCACCGCGGCGCUCGCCCCCGAGUCACCGAUGCCAGCGGAUGUCGGGCAGAAAGUUCUGAGCCUCGGGGGCUGGGGCUCAGGCCAGGGAUUUGGAGGCCAGGAGAUGUGAGGACUGGAGCUAAAGUACUGACAAUAGAUGCACGUAACCAUGGCGAAAGCCCUCACAGCCCCAUCAUGACCUACGAAGCAAUGAGCUUGGAUGUCCAGCACCUCCUGAGCCAGCUGCACAUCAGCAAGUGCAUCCUGAUUGGGCACAGCAUGGGCGGCAAAACAGCCAUGACACUGGCACUGCAGAGGCCAGAUCUAGUGGAGCGCCUGGUAUCUGUUGACAUUAGUCCCACCCCAACGGGGCCUGUCACAAGCUUCCCUGCCUACAUCUCUGCCAUGAAAAGCAUGAGCCUCCCACGUGGGAUCCCCCGCUCCACUGCACGCAGGCUAGCUGAAGAUCAGCUGCGUUCGGUCAUCCAGGUACCAGCUGUGAGACAGUUCCUGCUUACUAAUCUGGUGGAGGUUGAGGGCUACUACAUGUGGCGGCUGAACUUGGAGGCCAUUUCCCAUCACCUCCCUGAUAUUAUCACAUUCCCAACCUUCCAGUCGUAUUACCCGGGACCCACUCUCUUCCUGAGAGGCUCCAAGUCCCCCUAUGUCAGUGACACGGACUCCUCGGAGAUUGAGCGGCUCUUUCCCAAGGCCAAGGUCCAGUGUAUUGCAGGUGCUGACCACUGGGUCCAUGCAGAUAGACCACAGGAGUUCGUUGCUGCCAUCUCCAACUUCCUGCUGCUGCCAUAAAACCUGGAGACAGAGAUCGGGAUUGCUGCACAUGGCUGAUCCUGGAGCACCACAUCAGGGAUGUCCAGUACUCUGGAGGAUGGACCCCAACCAUAGAUAAGAAGUUAAAGGAAGUGCGGACGAUGUUUGUGGAGAGAGUUAGUGAUGGCGUGAUUGCCCCCGUCCUGGACGACCUGCAGGACAAACGGGUACUGAACCAUGAUGAAGCAGAGAAUGUGCGGGCAGAGAGGAGGAGGGCCGAACAAGCCAGGUACCUGAUCGAUGUGGUGAUGAGGAAGGGUCUUAAAGCCAGCACCAUAUUCAUCCAGUGCCUCCAUGACAGAGACCCCUUACUGGCUACAGAACUAGGGCUGGAUGCCUCCUCUGACGUUCCAUGAAUCACAAUGAUGUCACUGCUCUGCUCUGGAUUUAUGCUUUGGCAGAUCCCUGCAUGCAUUUGCUGCUCCUCCCCAAACAAGAGGCUGUGACCAUCAGCCACAGUAAACAUACCCCAGGACAGAUUUCAUCUUCUCUGACUAGAGGAAAGGAUGUUUCUUCUGAGAAUGGAUCAGAAAUGCAGACCCUUUUCUAGGUCCAAUUCUUUUAUGUUACCCUAAUUCCUCGGUACUCAGGACCACACUCUGUUCAGUAUAUUGGGAGAUGAUCACAUUUGACACCUGAGUCCAAUUUUAUGCACAAUAGCUGUAAAAGAACUUGGCCCUUGCUGUUUAUCGCAGUUUCUAAAAUGGUUCCAUCAGUGUGUAUAUGUCCUUACAAUGAGCCACUCUUUUCUUGCUCUCUAUCGCUCUGCCCUUUCACCAAGUCAUGAAGACUAUGUAAUCAAUGAUUUCCCCACAUCACUGAUGUGCAGUAAUUUUCCUGUGACAAUAAUAAGCGUGAAGCAAAAGUAAUUUGUGCUGAUUAUGCAGCGGAUGUCUCCUGCCAGUGAGUUUUGUUAAGGAUGGAGGAGUUCUGCCACGGGAAAAGACAGAACCUCUGCUGCCUGAGUGAUUGAAAACCGGUGAAGGCCGAGAGUAGACUAGGCACUCACCUGGAGGUGGGAGACCUGAGUUCUGGUUCUGGCUUUCGGGUCUCUUUCUCUACUGCCCAUUAAACAGCGGUUUGCUCAAGGCUCUCCUGCACUGGGUGGAGAAGGAGAUAGCCUGCUGUGACCCAGGGGGCUCCAUCAGCAGAGCAGAGCAGCGAUGCUCCAGCAAUGUGGAUCUUGUUGCAGUCAUCCCUGCCAUCCAAAAUGUGGACUUGGAUCCAAACCCUCCAACGGGCUUAAACCACGUGAGGAUGAAAACACAAUGUAUUUGGGUCUUUGGGCUGGCUUUCUGGUGUCCAGGGUUACAGCUUCCUGCCCUUCUCUGCAAGGGCUGAAAAUUCACUUUCUUUUAAUGAAAGCGUAAUUUUGCUCCAUUCACAAGACACCAGGAGCUAAGGCUUGUGGGAAAAUAUAUCAUGGAGCAUGCACAAACAUGGCAAGACCUGAUGACAACACAGUGUAUUCUCUCGCCCUGAAGUACCCUGCACCUCCUCCCUGCCACAGGCUUCCAGGCCCCAGUGUUCAUGGAUACACAAUGAACAGGUGAAUUAGUUAAAGAAGGGUGCCUUGUUUACCAGCUUCAGGUUGCCCUGUCCCCUUUCCCUCCUGGAUGCCCAUGACAGUGAUCAGGGACCAGGCUCAGAGCCACCCUCAUCUGUGUAUGUUCAGGACUUCAGCUUCCCUGUGCUCUGCCCAUUGCUCAGCUCAGCGGCCCUUCCAAACAAGGCACUAUUUCAGCUUAAGGCCCUUGUCCCCAUCAC